UACAGGGGGGGCAAGCGUUGUUCGGAUUCACUGGGCGUGCAGGGUGUGUAGGCGGUUUGGUAAGCCUUCUGUUAAAGCUUCGGGCCCAACCCGGAAAGCGCAGAGGGUACUGCCAGGCUAGAGGACGGGAGAGGAGCGCGGAAUUCCCCGUGUAGCAGUGAAAUGCGUAGAGAUGUGGAGGAAUACCGAUGGCGAAGGCAGCCCCCUGGGAUGACACUGACGCUCAUGCACGAAAGCGUGGGGAGCAAACAGG
rnacentral:rRNA from 1 species